GAUGAACGCUGGCGGCGUGCCUAAUACAUGCAAGUCGAGCGAACAGAUGAGGAGCUUGCUCCUCUGACGUUAGCGGCGGACGGAUGAGUAACACGUGGAUAACCUACCUAUAAGACUGGGAUAACUUCGGGAAACCGGAGCUAAUACCGGAUAAUAUGUUGAACCGCAUGGUUCAAUAGUGAAAGACGGUUUUGCUGUCACUUAUAGAUGGAUCCGCGCCGCAUUAGCUAGUUGGUAAGGUAACGGCUUACCAAGGCAACGAUGCGUAGCCGACCUGAGAGGGUGAUCGGCCACACUGGAACUGAGACACGGUCCAGACUCCUACGGGAGGCAGCAGUAGGGAAUCUUCCGCAAUGGGCGAAAGCCUGACGGAGCAACGCCGCGUGAGUGAUGAAGGUCUUCGGAUCGUAAAACUCUGUUAUUGGGGAAGAACAAAUGUGUAAGUAACUAUGCACGUCUUGACGGUACCUAAUCAGAAAGCCACGGCUAACUACGUG
rnacentral:rRNA from 1 species